GAGGGUAUAGCUCAAGUGGUAGAGCACAUGUUUAGCAUGCGUGAGGUCCUGGGUUCAAUCCCCAGUACCUCCU
rnacentral:tRNA from 1 species